rnacentral:sRNA from 1 species
UACAGAAUAAACAGGCUGAUGUGUGUUUUCGUAAAACUUACAAGUAGGCCAGCGCUUUAAAAUAAGGCCACAGAACAGUAAAUCAAGUUUUAUUAUUAUAUAGAUCCAGGACUGGGACUUUCUUCUAUCACUCCAUGAUAUAAUUUGACCUAGUACAACAACAUUGUAUUCGUAGUUAUAAACAAGUAAAUAAUUUACAGUAUCAAAUACAUCGGCAUUUUGCUUAUGUGUUUUUACAAGCUCUUCCAAAAUCUUCAUUUCAGCUAAAGAAUCGUAGUUCCUAUGUUUUACGAGCGAACUCAAGUAUUUUCAAGCUACACAGAGUAAUGUGAUUUCUGUUUAUGACAUCAUAGUCUUGGACUAAUCUUUCACGGUUGAGAGUUAUUCCUUCAGUACGGUCAAUGUGAUGAUUACCAGGGGGACUUCAUAUUUGGAUGAAGAAUGUUUGGGAAAAUUCCUAUCAAUGAAAAGUGUAGAUCUGAUCAGAAGGACUAUCACCAGAGUCUCAUGUUCUGGUGUCGUCUCCCCUAAGACCAAGUGACCUAUCUUGCAUCAUUCACAACCAAUCGCUAACCUCUUCCCAGAGACACCAUAGAAACACACACACACACACUCCAAAACAAUAUCAAAUAUUGUAUUAGAGGCCACCAGAAUGGUAAGGUUGUAUCUAUGAUAGUAUUUAACAUAAUUGUGUAUCUGGAUAUUCGUAGGAUAUUCAUAGUAUAAAUGUAGCAAGUAUCUAUAUACAUAUGUGGUGAACACUCGCACGUGGAACUGGUCCAUUCAAGAAUGCUUUGGCCUGCCGUUGAUUUAUAGAAUCAAACUGAACCGCUGUAGGCAUAUUAUCUCUUAACAUAUAAAAAACGUGAAAUAAUUUCUUUGUUAAAAAUACCUAAUAGAACUUUCAUUACAAUAUACACAAAUUCAAUUUUUAGAUAAAAUGAAAUAAAUGUAGUAGACUUUAGUAAUAAUAUCUAACUCACUACAAUAACACGUCUUUUCAGUUUCGCGUUUUGGAGUCGUCUCUCGUACCGAAGACCGCUGUCGACAAUACCACCUAUCUUGCGUCAUGUACAACCCAUUGCUAACCUUUUCCCACCGUCACGAUAGAAACACACACACACGCAUAACAUAACAUAACAUAAUGAGGAUUUUUCUCGUGUGUGCUCGGCAUUUGUCCUCGCAUCUAGCCCCGAGAGUUUUGACAUUCGGGCCACUGGUAAUGAGAUGUAAUAAAUCUGUAUCGUUCCCAGACAGAACGAAGACACACACACAAACACACACACAUAUAUAUCGU